CCUACGGGAGGCAGCAGUGGGGAAUAUUGGGCAAUGGAGGAAACUCUGACCCAGCAACGCCGCGUGAAUGAUGAAGGUCUUCGGAUUGUAAAGUUCUUUUCUAAGGGAAGAAGAAAGUGACGGUACCUUAGGAAUAAGCCUCGGCUAACUACGUGCCAGCAGCCGCGGUAAUACGUAGGAGGCGAGCGUUAUCCGGAAGGACUGGGCGUAAAGGGGGCGUAGGUGGUUUGGCAAGUUAGUAGCGUAACUCCAAGGCUCAACCUUGGAACUACUACUAAAACUGUUGGACUUGAGUGCAGGAGGGGCAACCGGAAUGCCUAGUGUAGCGGUGGAAUGCGUAGAUAGUAGGAGGAACACCAGUGGCGAAGGCGGGUUGCUAGACUGUAACUGACACUGAGGCACGAAAGCGUGGGGAGCAAACAGGAUUAGAUACCCCAGUAGUC
rnacentral:rRNA from 1 species